AGGCUGGUCGGAAAAGGUUUAUCGUGAGAAGUCAGCCGAAGCCAUAGUAGUGAAGAUAUCACGAAGGGC
rfam:Virgibacillus sp. LM2416 chromosome, complete genome.